CUGCUUUGUGGAAAAUUUACAUGGUAUAGAAGGCAUGUCUUUCAUCCUAACAAAAGGUAUAUUACCUACUCUAUUAUGACAUAGCAUCUCCAUUUUAUUCAGUUCAUAAUGGUAUGUACAAUGAGAAGAAGAAACAGAAUCAACAGGUAAUGGAGCAUGGUAUUUACAAGGAUCAAGAGAUUUAAGAGAAGAAGAUUGUACAAGCCUGUAGAGACCAUCAUCCAAUUUACCAAUCUCCAGUGGCCUCUUCAGAGAAGGGUCUUGUAUUAAACAAGAGAAUUUAGUAAAUAGGACAAUAGAAUUCAACCGGCAUACAGGUUUGGACACAGAAAUGAGAUUGUAGUGAAAACUAGGAAUGUAAAGGACAUGAUGAAG
rnacentral:lncRNA from 1 species